GCCAGGCAUGGUGGCGCAUGCCUGUAGUCCCAGCUACUCGGGAGGCUGAGGUGGGAGAAUCGCUUGAGCCCAGGACUUGGAGGUUGCUGUGAGCUAGGCUGAUGCCACGGCACUGUUGCCUGUUGCCCAGGCAACAGAGUGAGACUCUGUCUCAAAAAAAAAAAAAAAAAAAAGACAUUUGGUAGUGAGGAAGCUGGGCAUGGUGGCAAACACCUGCAGUCCCACCUACUCAGGAGGCUGAGGCAGGAGGAUCGCUUGAGCCCAGGACUUCAAGGCUGCAGUGAGCUAUGAUCACACCUGCGAAUAGCCACUGCACUCCAGCCUGGGCAACACAGCGAGAUCCCAUCUCU
rnacentral:SRP_RNA from 1 species